UAUUACUUCCCAAAUACCAACGUCUUCUUUUUGUGGUAGACAGCAAUCAUCGUGAAAGAAUUAAGGAGGUAGCAGGUGAGCUGCAGAACUGCUUCUGGAGACGAGUUGAGAGAGGCAGUGAUGCUUUUUGAAAAUUGCAGGAUUUGCCAAAUCUCUUCGAUCUCUUCCUAACAGGACAUGGGUCUGUUCAAGCCACAUGCGUGACACAAGGAACUGGUCUGUAUAAGGGACUUGACCCACUGUCAAAGGAGCUUUCAAAAUGUUAAAGGAAGCUAGAUACCUAACCAAGGACAUGUUUGAUAAUAUCGGUCUAGGCUUGUUACAACAAAAUUAGUUUGUGUCCUGGUUAUUACACAGUACCGGGGACUGGUUUGAGCAGAAUAUUAAACUUAUUUCGUUGCCAGUUAUU